rnacentral:lncRNA from 11 species
AGCAGCCAAUGGGCGGCCUCCGGUGGGCGGGGCGUCACGGGCUCAGCCAAUGGGAGCGGGGAAGGAGGCCGAGGAGGAGGAGGAGGAGGGGGAAGAUGGCGGCCGCCUCCGCUCGCCUCAGGCCUGGUCUCUGGUCUUGGUCAGGCGGGAAGGAAGGAAGGAAGGAAGGAAGGAAGGAGGCGGAGGAGGAGGGAGCGGCUGCCGCAGGGGCCGGAUGAAUGGCUUCGAUGGGGCACAAGUGGCCCCCGGGCCGUAGUUUGGGGCUGGGACGGAGAAACCCUAUCGUCCCUAUUUGGCCAUGAAGACGCGGAGACCUCCUUUGGGAAACCACGAGCCCAGAAGAGCAGGACCCUGGUCGAAGCCAAGCCUCCCUCGGAACCGCGCCAUGGCACCCAGGGAGCUCCGCUGUUAGGCUGAAGAAACACCUCUCGGCCUGCCAAGGAUCGUUCCAGAAAGGGACGGGCUGAGUAGAGGGUGGUUGUUCCUUUGCUCUGGCCAUUGUCAUUGGUCCCUUGAAACCCCAGAGUUGGAAAUAUUCCCUCUGAGACCCAAACACAACGUCUUCUCUGAGAAAGAACGUCUCUUGUGGACUCGCAACAACCCUCUGGCCUGGAUUCUCCGCUCGGGCCACAGGGUCUCCUUCUCCGCCCACAGUCGUGAGUCUUCUUGUCCCCACGGAAGCCCAUCCGUCUUCCUUCCUUCCUUCUCCCCCGAAGUCCUCACGGCCACACGCCUCCACCUCCACUGAGGUCGGGUGCAAACACCACGAAACGGGGAGGCCGGCAAGGUGGGGAGGAGCAGACCCUGGUGAGGCUGGAAUGUCCCACGGCCUCUGCGUCUGUCUCUCUGCCGCCGGUCUCGUGGCACGGAAGGUUUGCCCUGUG